UACGAAGGGGGCUAGCGUUGUUCGGAAUUACUGGGCGUAAAGCGCGCGCAGGCGGUCCUUCAAGUCAGAGGUGAAAGCCCAGGGCUCAACCCUGGAACUGCCUUUGAAACUGGAGGACUUGAGUACGGGAGAGGUGAGUGGAAUUCCGAGUGUAGAGGUGAAAUUCGUAGAUAUUCGCAAGAACACCAGUGGCGAAGGCGGCUCACUGGCUCGAUACUGACGCUGAGGUGCGAAAGCGUGGGGAGCAAACAGG
rnacentral:rRNA from 1 species